rnacentral:lncRNA from 1 species
GGGAGGGCUCUCCAGCUCUCCUUGCUGUCUCUCCUCCCUCACACGUUUCCGCAGAGAGGACUGUCCUCUAGGGCAUUGUAACUUGGGCCACCUUGGGAGCUGAGGCUGGUGAGGAGCAGAGGAUGAGGAACUGGCACUUAGAUUUUUGAUGCACACUGAGAGGGUCCUUUUUAAUCAGCUGAGGAGCAAGGGAUUCCUGAGCCACAAAUGAGGCUCUCCCUACUGGAAUGCAGAAGGAAGGACAAGAGAUGAGCCUUUACUGAGAUGCUGCUAUCUGCUGGGCACUUUACACACACACAGUUAUGCCAUUUAGUCCACACUGUAACUGGGGAGGGAGUUGUUGCUUCCUGUGCUUCUCAUAUGAGAAAACUGAGGCUGAGAGAGGCUCAAGGGCUCCCAUAACUGAAGACCCGUGCCUUCGCUGCUGCCACUCAACCUCUGGGUGGGGGAUGGGGUGCUCAGUCCACGUGGAAGGAAGAGAGAAAUAGAAUGUCACAG